AUUGAACGCUGGCGGCAGGCCUAAUACAUGCAAGUCGAGCGGAGCGGCGGACGGGCGAGUAAUGCCUAGGAAUCUGCCCGGUAUUGGGGGAUAACGUCCGGAAACGGGCGCUUAUAUCGCAUACUAUCAGAUGAGCCUAGGUCGGAUUAUCUAGUUGGUGGGGUAAAGGCCUACCAAGGCGACGACCCGUAACUGGUCCGAUAGGAUGAUCAGUCACACUGGAACUGAGACACGGUCCAGACUCCUACGGGAGGCAGCAGUGGGAAAUAGUGGACAAUGGGCGAAAGCCUGAUCCAGCCAUGCCGCGUGUGUGAAGAAGUUUUUCGGAUUGUAAAGCACUUUAAGUUGGGAGGCGUUACCAACAGAAAAAGCACCGGCUAACUACGUGCCAGCCGCCGCGGUAAUAC
rnacentral:rRNA from 1 species